rnacentral:misc_RNA from 1 species
UUGUGGAGGAGGACGCCGAUGGUGGGGCUAAUGACUGGGGUGAAGUCGUAACAAGGUAGCCGUACCGGAAGGUGCGGCUGGAUCACCUCCUAACAGGGAGACAACAAAAUGUUCAAUAUUAUUUUGUCACCUUAGGUCGAUCGGUAUCUCACAUUCUUAUUUAUUUAGGAUUUCAAGUCCUAAGUUUUUUCUAGGUCACACCCAUUACUUUUCCUGGGCCAUUAGCUCAGGUGGUUAGAGCGCACCCCUGAUAAGGGUGAGGUCCCUGGUUCAAGUCCAGGAUGGCCCAUAUCUCUAUGUUGGGGGUAUAGCUCAGUUGGUAGAGCGCCUGCUUUGCAAGCAGGAUGUCAGCGGUUCGAGUCCGCUUACCUCCACUGAUUACCACCUCUUGCAUAAUCUAUAGAAAGGAAAUGUUUUGAGUUAUGACCAAAUCCUGAACGAAUCUAGCUUCUUAAUUAAAUUAUUAAGAUGCUGGACUCAUUGAAUUAAUUUCAUUGUUUUCAGAGAACCUUGACAACUGCAUAGAUUAUUUUAAAGACAAUAAGCAUCUUUAAUGAUGCAGAUUUAUUAUUUGUGCGAAUGUAUUAAUAACAAUUCUAUUAAGCUGAUGCUUCAAUUUUGAAGUUAUUGGUCAAGCUACAA